rnacentral:rRNA from 1 species
AUGAGAUGUUUCCGAAUACCCAUUUCUACAUGUGAAGGGCUGAGGCAAGCUGUUGCUGUUUAUUGGUGGGGUAGAGAAGAUGGUAAGAGGAAACUUCACUGGCGUUCAUGGGAAUCGUUAUCCACACCAAAAAAGCUUGGUGGACUGGGUUUCCGUGAUUUUUCUCUCUUCAACCACGCUAUGCUUGGUAGACAAUGUUGGAGGCUUCUUACUGAGCCAGAUUCUCUUUGUGCUCAGGUUCUCAAUGGAUGCUAUUCUCCCCACCGUGAUUUUUGGGAUGCGCCUAAUCCGAGGUCAUCAUCCUAUACUUGGAGAAGUAUUUUCUAUGGCCGAGAGCUUGUUAAGGCUGGUGUUCGGUGGGGAAUUGCUAAUGGCGAAAAGGUUAAAAUCAUGACAUAUCACUAG